UCAUGAAUGAGUAGGUGUGUCUAAACCUUUGACUGGUACUGUGUAUAUAACCAAUUUUUAGACAUCCCGGUGUACGCAUACCGAGCUAUAUGCUAUUUCAAUAAGCUUUUCGUGGCAAACUUUUUCAUCAUGCACGAUAAAAGUUACCUUGAACUAUUUAUUAAAUUGUGAUCCCUGUUAGCCUAAACAACGUAGCUGUUCAUAAAACAUUAUUGUAGUUAGAUAUUUGUAGAUCUACAUGCGAACCUUUUCUACAUAGUUUUAUGUCCGGUGUAUUCCGCAGCAGUCUCCGUAGCCGAUCAUUUCUUCCUGGUACUCGACUACCGUUUUCUCAACUGCCCCGAAAAUCUCCACAGCAGCCGCCGUUAAACGCUCAUUUAAGAACACAUGCAACAUCUGUAAUGUAGACAUUUUCAGGCGACUGAGAGUCAAUUUGACCAUGUGCUCAACCAUGGAUUGAGUUUGAGGGAGGCUGGGCAGAGAGUUCAGCCCAACCUGAGCCGCUACACGGUUGCAUCUAUCAUCCGUACAUUCAGAAAUGAGAACCGGUAAGAUACCUACCAUCUACACUAUGCCAGUAGGCCUAUGUUACGCAGUGAUUGUUGGCCAAUGUUACAGUAAUGUCAUUUCAUAUAGAAAGAAAAUAGAUUAUUUUAGCUUCCUGAAACCAAUCAUAUCAUAUUUGGGGAUCUUCUGCAGAAAUGAGAGAUGGCCAGGCCGUGGUGGAAGACACCGGCUGUUCACACCAGAACAGGAGACCCGCAAUUGUGAACAUGGUGGUGGCAAACAAUACCAUUCGACUAGGAGAAAUUCAGAACCACAUAAUUGCAGACAACACAGUAUUCAAUAACAUUCACCAGGUGGGCUUGUCUACAUUGGACCGUGUAUUACAGCACAACCGAAUCCGGAUGAAACAGGUCUACAGGGGGCCAUUUGAGCAAAACUCAAGAGGGAUAAAGAACAGCGCUAUGGAUAUAUGCAAAGUCUUGGAGCUGGAUGCUGCUGCAAUUCAGCACGUUUAUAUGUACAUUGAUGAGGCUGGCUUCAACCUAGCCAAAAGACAGGGAUGGAACAUUAUUGGCCACCGUGCCAUUGUGAAUGUCCCUGGACAGCGUGGAGGGAGUAUCUGCUAAAUGACUUAAAUGUAAAUGUAAUAUCACCAUGUGCACAGCCGUUAGCCAGCAAGGCGUCCUCCAUCACCAUGCCAACCGUGGUCCCUACAACACCGCCCUUCUCAUUACAUUCCUGGACACACUACAUGGCAUCCUCAUUCCAGCUGAGCAGAGGGGUGGACCAGAGCAACUGGUUGAUCGACCACCCACAAUUUAGUGUCCUAUACCUCCCACCAUAUUCCCCAUUCCUAAACUCAAUUGGAGAGGUUUUUUUCGGCAUGGCGAUGGAAGGUGUAUGACCGCCAUCCCCUCACCCGCAUGCCUCUUCUCCGGGCAAUGGAGGAUGCAUGAGGUGAAGUUGAUGUGGGGGCUUUUUGUUGGCUGGAUCCGUCACUCCAGAAGAUUCUUUCCCUGCUGUUUAGCCAGGGAGAACAUCGCUUGUGAUGUAGAUGAGGUGCUGUGGCCAGACUAAAAUAUGAUGUAGUAUAAUGUCUUUGUUCUUACAUUUACAUGUGUUUUUGUGUUUUAGAGUUUUGAAAGAAUGAGCCUAUUUUAUUUUUGUACAGAAAACCCUUUAUCUUACUGGAUGUUUUUCCUGGUUUUCUCCUGUUGGGUAUGGAAAGUGUUACAUACAAAACACAAGUGAUCAGAAAUACUGCAUUUUGGAAAUAGAUUACAAUGUUUUUGGUACUGUAUUGCGUUUGUUUAUUUAUGUAUAUUUGAGUAGUAUACAUUGUUACAGUAAUCUUUUCCAACAGCUACAGUGUAACACUGAAAAGGCAUAAACCAACUGCUGGAUAUUCAUAGUGUUGAGCACAUCAGUGUGUUGUUGGUUGGUAGACAGAUCUACUCAUAUGACGUGUUUCAUUUUGAUGCUACAAAAAAAAAACAUUUUGGAAAGAGAACCGUUUUGAAUGCAGUUUGCUUUUGCUAGAGAUUUGUAUAGUUUUGGGGAAAUGGGCCAAAGCCUCAGCAAACGUGGAAACCUGUAAGACGAAAUUGAAAUCUCUGACAAAUGGAAGGAGAUAUUUUCUUUUAAUGUAUCAAUAACAUCAGUCUGACCAUCACCCUGAGACAUUCCAAUACAAACAAGUGGAGGAGGAAGUCCAGUAGCUAUAAGAGUCAGGCUGGUUCCCAGACUUGCACACUACAAGAUCAUCGGCAGACUAUCACCAUCUUAACUCCUCUGACCAGCUCUCUCCGCUCAAGCCAUGAACUGACCCUCUCCCUCUUCAGUGGAUGCAGACUAGGCCUCUUGAUUGACCUGGGCUGUUAUAUUGCUUGUUUUGUUUCGUUUUGCUCUUGAACCCCUUUACAUUCUAUGAAAAGCGCUGUUGAAUAAAUUAUUUACCUGCUUC